AGCGCAGGCGGGAAGACAAGUUGGAAGUGAAAUCCAUGGGCUCAACCCAUAAACUGCUUUCAAAACUGUUUUUCUUGAGUAGUGCAGAGGUAGGCGGAAUUCCCGGUGUAGCGGUGAAAUUCGUAGAUAUUCGGAGGAACACCAGUGGCGAAGGCGGCUCACUGGCUCGAUACUGACGCUGAGGUGCGAAAGCGUGGGGAGCAAACA
rnacentral:rRNA from 1 species